rnacentral:rRNA from 1 species
GACGAACGCUGGCGGCGUGCUUAACACAUGCAAGUCGAACGAUGAUGCCAGCUUGCUGGUGGCUUAGUGGCGAACGGGUGAGUAACACGUGAGCAACCUGCCCCUGACUUCGGGAUAACCGCGGGAAACCGUGGCUAAUACCGGAUAUGCCGCGCUAUCGCAUGGUGGUGUGUGGAAAGAUUUAUCGGUUGGGGAUGGGCUCGCGGCCUAUCAGCUUGUUGGUGGGGUGAUGGCCUACCAAGGCGACGACGGGUAGCCGGCCUGAGAGGGUGACCGGCCACAGUGGGACUGAGAAACGGACGAGACUCCUACGGGAGGCAGCAGUGGGGAAUAUGGCACAAUGAGCGCAAGCCUGAUGCAGCGACGCCGCGUGAGGGAUGACGGCCUUCGGGUUGUAAACCUCUUUCAGUAGGGAAGAAGGCCUUCGGGUUGACGGUACCUGCAGAAGAAGCGCCGGCUAACUACGUG